CAAUUAAGUAAACAACUUACAAUAAAUAGUAAAUACGAACACAACUAACACUCACUGUUGUUGACGAGGUAGGUUCAACUAAAUGCAACGUAAGACUUCAACCU